ensembl:lncRNA
GAAAGAUUUCCGGUACCGGGCAGUUUUGGAGCUGAGCUGUCUGAGCCUCUUAGAGAAGGAGCUCUUCUUUUUGUCCAGUACAGGUUGGAGAGGAUGGUCAAAUAUAAUGUUUUAGAUUCUUGCCAUUAUUGACAGUAAACAUGCAGGCAUCUAUAGUAAAUGUUUGACAGUCUCUGAAGCUUAUUUCAGCACAACAACAGCUGUGUAACGUUAGGAAUAUGCUGCUAAUAAAGUUACAUUCACAUGCCUGUUAUUGUAUUUAUUUUAUUUAGAAAUCACCUCCAGCCCCGAGGUCUGGGGCCCAAUCAAUCAUCGUCAGAAACUUGUCUGUAGUGGUGUUUAGAGCUGUGACGGUGUCAGAUUUUUGAUCACCGCGGUGAUGAACCACCAGGGGGCGGGGUGUCGCGGUUUUCACGAGGCCUCCGCAGAGCAGCUGGUCGGUCCCAUUUGCGCUACAAAGCUUUCAUGCAUAGUCUAUGCAUGACGACAAAACAGAUUGUACUUUUAUCUGCUAACAAUUUUCUCUUUGAUCUGUUAAGGUUUCCUGUUUGUCGUUAGCUGGAGGGACUAACUAAGAUCAUCUGAUUUGAAGAAUGUUGUGGGCUGCACUGACCAACAAUGUCUUCUGUCUUUUCAACUGGAAGGGACAGAAGAGACUCUUCCAGGACACGCUAUUGAUGGACUGCAUGUUUGGAGUGCUUGAAGCUCAAGAUAGAACCGUUGUUGAAGUGAACAUACCGAUAGUUUGGAGAUGAAGAUCAGAGUCACACUGACCUGCUGACAUGUGAGAGCUGUCCACACUUUGGACAUGACUUCUGUCCCUCCACUUCCUCUGAUCUCUGUUCUGUGGGUCUGUCUCUCCAUCUGUAGUUGAUGUUGAUUCUUCAUGUUGGUUUCCUUCUUCAUCCUGACUAUCAGUUACAUUAAAGCUCUGCUGAUUGUUUAGAUCUGCUUCACUGUUCUCAUCUUCCUCAUAAGAAGGAAUCUCCAUCAAGGUAUCAGUCUCCUGCUUCAGAUCAAGAUUUUCUUCAUCCUGACUGAUGCAGAGUUCCUCCUGUUCCUCUUUAAUCUGUGGAGGUUCUGGUUCCUCCUGUUCCUCUUUAAUCUGUGGAGGUUCUGGUUCCUCCUGUUCCUCUUGAAUCUGUGGAGGUUCUGGUUCCUCUUUAAUCUGUGGAGGUUCUGGUUCCUCCUGUUCCUCUUUAAUCUGUGGAAGUUCUGGUUCCUCCUGUUCCUCUUGAAUCUGUGGAGGUUCUGGUUCCUCCUGUUCCACUCUGAAGUUCCUCUGCUGGUUGCAGAGAUCUUCCUCUUCAGUCAUCCAAUGCUGGGGGAGAACUGCAGGGACACAAACACAACAAGGAGAAUUGUAUCGUUUACAGGACUUUUGGUUUUUUUUCAAGCAUCAAUAAACUCUGUGAUCAUUGGAGAAAAUGUCUGAGGAGUCUGGAGGACCAGAAGAGACUCAUUGAAAUAAAUAUAUAUGCAGAAGUGGCUAUUAACGCGUUUUCUUUAGUAACGUUUUGGUGAAUUGUACUUGUGGGAGUAAGACAAGGCAAUUUCAUUUGUAUAGCA